AUACUUCCUUGACGAGGGAGCUAGCAUGAUCAUGAAUCUAGUUUUCGCAGGGUCAGUCCCAUCCGUUCUACUCUAGAUGUGCUGAUUCCUGCAAUUUCCUUAAAGGUGGGAAAUUGGAAUUUUAACUUGUGAUAGUUGGUACUGUGUUUGUGCUGUUCCCU
rnacentral:snRNA from 11 species